rnacentral:rRNA from 1 species
AAGAUGGCGACCGGCGCACGGGUGGAGUAACACGUAUCCAACCUGCCGAUAACUCUGGAAUAGCCUUUCGAAGAAAGAUUAAUACCGGAUGGCAUACGAAUAUCGCAUGAUAUUUUAUUAAGAAUUCGGUUAUCGAUGGGGAUGCGUUCCAUUAGUUUGUUGGCGGGGUAACGGCCCACCAAGACAACGAUGGAUAGGGGUUCUGAGAGGAAGGUCCCCCACAUUGGAACUGAGACACGGUCCAA